rnacentral:misc_RNA from 1 species
UACAGAGGCCCCAAGCAUUACCCGGAAUCACUGGGCGUAAAGGGUGUCGAGGCGGCCAUAUUAGUCUUUCGUAAAAUCCAGGAGCUCAACUUCUGGCCUGCGGGAGAAACGGUAUGGCUCGAGGGCGCAAGAGGUGCACGGAACUCACGGUGUAGGGGUGAAAUCCGUUGAUAUCGUGGGGAACACCAAAGGCGAAGGCAGUGCACUGGUGCGUUCCUGACGCUCACACACGAAAGCCAGGGUAGCGAACGGG